GACGAACGCUGGCGGCGUGCUUAACACAUGCAAGUCGAACGGUGAAGCGCCUUCCUUUUUGGUGGGUGUGGAUGAGUGGCGAACGGGUGAGUAACACGUGAGUAACCUGCCCCCUUCUUCUGGAUAACCGCAUGAAAGUGUGGCUAAUACGGGAUAUUCUGGGUCUGUCGCAUGAUGGGUCUGGGAAAGAUAUUGUUUCGGUGGGGGAUGGGCUCGCGGCCUAUCAGCUUGUUGGUGGGGUGAUGGCCUACCAAGGCGGUGACGGGUAGCCGGCCUGAGAGGGUGGACGGUCACACUGGGACUGAGACACGGCCCAGACUCCUACGGGAGGCAGCAGUGGGGAAUAUUGCACAAUGGGAGCAAGCCUGAUGCAGCGACGCCGCGGGAGGGAUGGAGGCCUUCGGGUUGUGAACCUCUUUCGCCAGUGAAGCGGGCCUGCCUCGUUUGUGGGUGGGUUGACGGUAGCUGGAUAAGAAGCGCCGGCUAACUACGUG
rnacentral:rRNA from 1 species